CAGAGGCAGAGCUGGUUGCCUAGGGCCGGGGGGAGGGAGGCCCAGGAAGGAGGUUCCCUCUGGGUGGUGAGGAUCACCUGCAGGCACCUGGUGGUGACCGCUGCACAGCUCUAAAUGAACUAAGAGCCACCGGACCCUCCCUGGAAACGAUGUCCCUCCUAGGUGUCCCCUUUCAUGGCCCAGAGUGAAUCUGAAGAGGGAUACAGGAGGCUGGGUGAGCCUCGACGCCCAGCCCCACAGCAGCCCGUCUCUUGCUGUCUUGAUGCUGCAAGGGGCUGAAUUGACUCCACUUGAAGCAGCCUGCAGACGGAGUGUUGAGAUGAUUAGAGGACGCCUCCCUGUCAGAUGAUGCUCCUGCUUGUCCUUUCACUUUCCACCAUGAGUUGACGAAGCACAAGUCCUCACCAGAAGAACCAUGAGCCCAAAUAAACCUUUUUUCUUUAUAAAUCA